rnacentral:lncRNA from 1 species
AGCAGAAUAUCCUUCGACUGGUCGUGACCAAGUCGGUAUGUCACGAGCGUGACUGCGGUCGUCUUGGCGUUUUGCCCUUCUUAGUCGAAGCUAAGUCGGCAAAUUAGCCAGCCGCGUUGGUCGAUGCCCUUUGCCUUCAGAGGCGGGGACCGUCGUAGAUAUUCUACCUCUUCGAUCUUUGUCGUAGAAUCCGAUAGUUGAGUAGUAUCCGACGUAUUUGAAUAGGAUAAUGAUGACAAGUCGAAUAUCCAUUGUCCGGCCCUUGGUCGGAUACAGCAUGUC